GCAUAAUCAUUUGCCUUUUAAUUGGUGGCUAGUAUGAAUGGACAAACGCGAAUUUAACUGUCUCCCUAGCACAAAUAAAAAUUAAUCUUUAGGUGAAGAAGCCUAAAUCACUAUUAAAGACAAAAAGACCCUGUAGAGCCUUACUCAAACAUACUUUAAAUUAAAACACAGUUAGAGUCUAGUUGGGGCAACUAAGGCACACCAAAAGAAGCCUAUAUAAAAAUUCGGCGACCAGGCCAAAAAAUGACCCAAAUUUUGAUCACCGGUAUAGGCUACCUCAGGGCUAACAGACUAAUUUCUUUUAAGAGUCCAAAUUAACAAAGAAGUUUAGCACCUCGAUGUUGGCUUAGGGGCCCGAAAGGCGCAGGAGCCUUUUUAGGUAGGUUUGUUCAACCUUUAAACCCCU
rnacentral:rRNA from 1 species